AUGGUUGCCAGGAGCCUGUUUGGCGCGACUCUUGGGACCAGCGGGACUAGUCGUUUGUGUCCCAACUCUUCUGAAGGGGCCUGGACCGGAAGGCUGGGCAGGGAUCGGUUCCGCUCCGCUCCAUUCCGCCGGCAACUUUGCCGGCUGCCUGAGGCCUUGAAGCCCAAUGUCCACCCAACCCUAGCUCCCGGGCCUCCAUCCAUCCAUCCACUCACCGAGGCCUCAGGCCCUGGGAUCAGCUGUCCCCGAAUCCUAACCCUCUUUCAGCCCUCCCCUCCCCAGUCCCUGCUAGCGGCUGGUUACCAUGGUGAAGCUAGCAGCCAAGUGCAUCCUGGCAGGAGACCCAGCUGUAGGCAAGACGGCCCUGGUGCAGAUGUUCCGAAGUGACGGGACCCAUUUCCCAAAGAACUAUACUCUGACAACAGGUGUGGAUUUGGUGGUGAAGACAGUGCCAGUUGUUGACACAAAUGACAGUGUGGAACUCUUCAUUUUUGACUCGGCAGGCAAGGAGCUGUUCUCUGAGAUGCUGGAUAAACUGUGGGAGAGUCCCAACGUCCUGUGUCUCGUCUACGAUGUGACCAAUGAGCAGUCCUUCGUCAGCUGCAACAAGUGGCUGGAGAAGGUCCGGGCACAGACUCCGGGGAUCUCCCUCCCAGGUGUUCUAGUGGGAACUAAGACAGACCUCUCUGGCCGACGAACAGUGGAUUCUUCGCAGGCCCAGGCAUGGGCUCUGGGCCAAGGCCUGGAAUUCUUUGAAACAUCUGUGAAGGAGAUGGACAAUUACGAGGCCCCAUUCCACUGUCUGGCCAAACAGUUCCACCAGCUGUACCGGGAGAAGGUGGACAUGUUCCAUACCCUGGCGUGAGGGUGUGGGGGCUGAGCCCCAACAGCGAGGAGCCCAGCAGACCUUCAUCUCUUCAGCAGACAGAAGAUGGAAUCGCCCAGUACUUCUCAGAUACCUCCAUAGCUGUCAAUAAAAUGAGCAUGGAGGCUGUUAAUAUCCCACUUUUACAAAUGACAAGCUGGAAGGAGAAAAUGAAGCUCAGCCAAGGGGCCGCAGAGCCAGAACGUCAACUCCAGAGCCAGCAGCUCCCUGCUCCCCUCCUCCCUCCCCGAGCUUGGCAGGAGCUGUGGAGGCCAUGCUGCGUGCAGAGGGUGAAGGUCGGGCUGCUCACCAAGGUCACAGGAAGGAGAGACAAUUGUUUUCGGGGCACCCAGGCACAGAGCAGCACCCAGCCCUCACAUCUCUCAUGCCGUGACUCCCUAGUGUGCACCUACUAUGACGACUACAGGCCAUCACUUCAGAACCACAACUGAGGGCUGACUGUAAGCCAGGCACAUGUCUAGGCCCCGGCAAUGCCAGGCCACAGAAGGACCUCUGAACAACCAAGGGAACAGGAAGCAUUUUUCGUCAUCCUAAAGCUGGUUCCUAGGGCCCCUGGAUCUAACCCUGCGAUCCCGAGCCACAGAAGCCAUGUCCUAAAGGCCACUUGUCUCAAUGGCUGCCCUCAAACACAUCUGACCCUUCUGUUUCCCGCUUCACCCUUCUGUGAGGUUACGGUGACCAAAGUGGAAUAAAAGAUGCCACCUCUCUUUAGCCUCAGACCCUAGUGGAGGAAGUCCCCAGAGAGUCCUGCCGCUAAGGGCACUGCCGGUAAGCGACACUGGCACUGGGUUCCCCAGCUGGAAGCCAGGGAGGCUGCAGAGUUGGUACCGGCUUCAGACUUGGUGCUGGUGCCCUUGUAGGAGCCCAGGCAGUAUUCCCUCAGUUGGUUCACCUCUCUGGGGACUCAUGGGCAGGUGCCUGCUUCCCAGAACACCAGGAACCUUGCAGAGUGCUCUGAUGGGGACAUGUGGAAAGGAGCUGUGUGAAAGCCAGGUGGCCCUGGACAAAGACUCCUUCCUACUGGAGAGGGGCAGGGAGACUGUUCGACUGACAGCUGAAAGGGCCAUGGCUGCCUCCCAUCAUUGAGGGGGGCAGAUACACCAAGAUCCACAGAGACCAGCAGACUAUACCAAACUGAGAGCAGACCUUGGGGAGUGUGCCGCUCCUUCCAAGGCACCCCAGAGAGAGAGAGAGACAAGGCACUCCUCCCUCCUCCUGGGAAGAGAUUUGAACAGAUUCACAAGCUUCAAAUUGAUCUAAGGCAUAAUGAGAGAGCAUGCCUGACCACGCCGAGGAGCCUUGGCGGACACAGCAGGAAUGGAGAGUAGACUGAGUUUAAUGGAUAGAGAAGGCACCGGCCUUGGGUAUUGAGCCCGUGGAGCUAGGUUCCCUGGCAAACUGGCUCUACUGGUAAAUAAGGCCCUUUCAGACAGUACCGGUGGAAAGAUGGAACUGGGGCAGCUGGAAUUGGGGUAAUAGGGCUGGGCUAGAUGGACCCUGAGAAGAGGAAUCCCAGCACUAAGAUCUGUCUGCAUGUGCCUGUGUUGGGGUACAGUCAUGGGCAGCAGAGGGUGGGGGUGCAAAGGCUCCGGGACCUCCAGCAGGGAAGAACUCCAGGCCAGUGAAGACUAGUCUAGGGUGUGCUGAGGAAGCAGAGGGAGGUGGGUCGGCAGGGGCCUGGGUGAGAGGAAUAUGGAUCUGAUUCCAAAGCAACAGAAGCCGUGAGAAGAAACAGUAUGGCUCGUCUACCCUCUGCGAGGAGCCUGGCAAGUGGUUUAUCCACUUUGACGACUCUGUAAACUGACAUUCAUGCUGUAACUGUGGGUAUAGGGUGUAUUGUGGGGGGGAAGGGAGACAGAGGUCUUUUUUACCUUAUUUUGAGAUGGGGUCUCUCACUGAACCUGGAGUUCAUAGAUUAAGCCAGAUUGCCUGGCCAGCAAGCCCCACAUAUCUGCCUGUCUCACUUGUGGUUACAGAUGUGUGCAUCAUGCUUGGUCUUUAUGUGGUUCUGGGGUAUGAACUCAGGUUCUCAUACUUGGACAGUAAUAGUUUUGCAGAGGGAACUGUCUGCCUAGCCCCAGGUCUUGUGUCCUGAAUAUAUAUGAGCACCUAUUGCAUACCAACCCAUCCCAGUGAGUGAUGCCCGUGCUCAGGACCUGUGUUCCCGUGGGAAGGGAGAAGGCUUGGAUGAGGUAGGUUAAUAACCUGCUGCCAGGGGCCCAGAGAGCAAGGCCAGCAUGAGGGUCAUAAUGGGAAGUGGGAGGUCAGAGAAGACUUAGCCAUGAAGGUGACAUUGAAGCUGGAUUUGAAAGUGAACAGAGCCCCUGGCAUCUUUGAAACAGUGCCUUGGCAACCCUCAGAGAUGGAGCCUUCCUGCUGUAGCGGUCAGGGCAGGGACUCAGCCAGGUGAGCAGGAGACGUGUGCGUGGAUGCAACUUCUGCCCUAUAGCCCCAACAGUCUGUAGAGAAUAGUGAGCCAGCAGUGGACUUCUAACCUCUGGGUUAGAGGAGAACCAGCUGGAGUCUCCUAAGACAGCCCCAGGAACGCGCAACAGCCCGGGGACUGGGGAGAGGGCUGCCUGUGCUCCUCUUGCUCUAUGGCACAUGGCCUGAGGAUCCAUGAAGCUGGCCAGCAACAAUGCCCUUGGCUUCCCUUUUGUUAUUGUUGAGACAAGGUCUCAUGUAGCCCAGCCUGGCCUAGAACUUGUCAUGUAGCUGAGGAGCACUCUGAAUUUCUGAUCCUCCUACCUUGACCUCCAGGGUGCUGGGAUUACAGGUGGAUGCCAAUGUGUGCAGUUGGUUAGGUGCUAGGGAUCAAGCCCAAGGCCAUGUACAUGCCAGGCAAGCAGUCCGCCAGCUGCGCUUAAUCCCAAGCCUUUGGCUGCAGCUUUUCCUUCCUCAGAGAGGGCUUGGGAGGUACACAAGAGGGAAGCAUGUCUUGGAGCCAGUGUUCAAAAGCAUGAAACUUCUUCCCUGUGUAAAAACCCUUGAUGUCACACCUAGCCAGGAGCUGUCCUGCUCCUUUCAGGAGGUGGCUGCCAAGACCCCGGCUCUCAGUGUGACCCUGUCCCAUGCUGGGGGAGCACCCUGGGUUCUGUGGCUUGGGUGAGGUAGCUGGUGUACAUGGUCCUGCAAGCUCCACUGUGGACAUCAGCACAGAUUGAACCUGCUGGAUGGGACCUGCUUAACAUGUUGAAGCACACCCGCUGGGGGGUUUUCACCCAUCGAGUGGAGAGAGGCCUUUGGCUUCCUACCUGUUCUCACGCCCCCAUAUUCGUCUCUGGACAGCUGCCACAUACUGCAGGAUCAGAGACAACCAAGACUGACCCUGACGGAGCUCAAAGUCUGGAGGUCAGAAUAGCUGAUGCCAGAAACCGAACAGCACAUGCAAAGGCCCUGCGGUGUGAGGUCAGGCUUGGGGGAAGGUAAAACAGGGACAUGAAGAUCUGCCUGUCCAAAACAGAAGAGUUGGAUCUUUCUGGAAGGAAGGUUUCAACAGAAAUGACUCACAUGGAUAUGCCUUGGAACAGCCAGCCCAGGAGAGCAAGAGGGCAGACUGAAGUGCUUGGAGGUAAACAGAGCUGAUAGAUAUGAGGACAUCGGUGGCAGAGAGCUCGCCUCCCUCCUGAAAGGCGACAGGCGUGCGGAGGCUCAUUAGGAGGAAAUAUUGAACAGGCCGUUUUCGCCUUCCGUCUGCGACUGGAGCUCAAAGCCAGUUCUCACCAAAGCUGUUACUCAAGUAGCUGGGCUGGGCGGGGAGGGGGUUGGGGAGGAACUUGGGGCAGGAGAGCAGGAGCCUGUGGAGAUCUGCUGUGCCAGGACUCUGUCCCUGUGGUAGAAGCCACUAAGGAUUGAUGAAAACAACAUCCACUUCUCAAGAGGGGUUAGGAUUAUCUGUUAUUCUUAGACAAGGUACUUACCCUCUCUGAGCCUUCUCCACCAAUCAGAUGCGAGUAUCACCAACUUCACCGGUGUUUGUGAGUGGAUUCGGAUAUAAACAGGCUUCAUUUAGAAGGUACAAUCUUAGAGGAAAUGCUAAAAACUUCAGUGAUAAUUAUUGCUUGUUUAUAAGCCUGAAUGUACGUGUAAGUACAAAAGGAGGAAGAGAAACCAGCUGUGUGUGCCUGUAAUCCCAGCACUCAGGAGACUGAAGCAGGAGAAGGGCUAUAAAUUUGAAGUCAGCCUGAGCUACAUAGUGAAUACCAGGCCAUAGUGAGACCCUGUCAGAGGUAGAGAAACAGAGCUAACGACAGUGUAAAUGAAAAAAACCGGAAACUAUUCAAACCCUACCACCCAGAGACCGACACACAUGAAGGCCAGGGGUUUGUGGCCCCCAAACCUCACCCUUCUGUGUAAAAUAUAUACAGUUUGAAACAAACAAA